rnacentral:rRNA from 1 species
UACGAAGGGGGGCUAGCGUUGCUCGGAAUCACUGGGCGUAAAGGGUGCGUAGGCGGGUCUUAAGUCAGGGGUGAAAUCCUGGAGCUCAACUCCAGAACUGCCUUUGAUACUGAGGAUCUUGAGUUCGGGAGAGGUGAGUGGAACUGCGAGUGUAGAGGUGAAAUUCGUAGAUAUUCGCAAGAACACCAGUGGCGAAGGCGGCUCACUGGCCCGAUACUGACGCUGAGGGCACGAAAAGCGUGGG